GUUUUUUGAGAAUAAAUUCUGCUGUUUUCUGCUGUAAUAAGAAAUAAGCAUGUGCUGCUGUCUUCAAGACUGUCACCAAGCCAGAAAUCCUCUCCUCAUAGCUUCUCCACUUUCAACCUGAUGUACUGGGAUGGAAAAACUUGUACAAGUGCCAAUUGCAGAAGCUGCUGAAUGUCUGUCAGGCUGGGACAGAGUCAGGAAGAAGAGAGGACACAUAGAGACACAGAGAGAAGAAUCCUUGUGAAGAUGGAGGCAGAGAUUGGGAUGUGUUGCUACAAACCAAGAAUUGCCAACAACCACCGGAAGCCAGGAGUGAGGCAUGGACCAAUUUCUUCCUCAGAUCCUGCAGAAGGAACCAACCCUGCUGACACCUUGGUUAGGACUUCUGCCCUCCUGGCCUAUGACAGAAUACAUUUCUGUCCCAGUUUUUGGUAAUUUGUUACAGUAACCCUAGAAAACUAAUACAGACAUGUUAAGUAGUUUGUCCAAAAUCAUACUGUUAGUAAAGAUCACAUUUUUGUUGAAGCCAUGGCUUAAAACAAGGACUGUCUGAUUCCAGAGCCACAAUGUUUAACAGAUACACUCUCUUCUUUCUUUAUAGUUCAAGAUCAAGACAUUCCCCCAUGACCCAGAAAUUUCCCCCUUUAUUGUAUCUUAAGGAAGCAUUGAACAUCCUUCUUAGCUCUAGGAGCCUGGGGUUUGGUGCUGGAACAUUUCAUGCCCACUCUAUGUGAGUUACACCAAUUCCUCUGGUUUAGAGCAUAGGUAAAGGUGGAAAGGGAGAUGUGGAUACAGAUACAGAUAGAUAUAAAUAAAAUUCAGUGUGAAGGAGGGCUUUCUGUCCUGUUUACCUUGUUUCCUAGGUACAUGGUGUAGUAUUCUUUUGCAUCUAACAAAAGUUCAACAGUGUCUGUUAAUAAGCUAGAAAAUAGUGCCUAUCUUUUCUUGAGGGCCUUGUAAUCGUAUUUAAAAGAUUAAGUAAAUCUCUAAUCCCGUCUGUGCACCUAGUUAAAUAAAAUGAGGACAGUUUGGAAAUUAAUUUUUUUUAAUGUAGCAAUUAGCAGCAUGGACUUUGGAAUCACUGGUCUGGGUUCAAAUCCCAUUCCCACCACUUAUUAGCUAUGUGUUAUUGGGCAAGUUGAUUUAUCCCUCCAAGCCUCCUUGUCUGUAUUUUCAGGAUCAUGGUAAUAAUAACUAUUGCAUAGGAUUUUGUUAGUAUUAAAUGAGUUAAUGAAUACAAAUACUUAGCACAGUAGCUGGCGCAUACAAAGUGUUCAAGAUACGGUGGUUCUGAGAGUUUUAGAUGUACA